rnacentral:rRNA from 1 species
AGGACAAACGCUGGCGGCGUGCCUAAGACAUGCAAGUCGGACGGAGGACUUCGGUCCUUAGUGGCGGACGGGUGAGGAGCGCGUGGAGAACCUGCCCCGGGGUGGGGGAUAACAGUCGGAAACGAUUGCUAAGACCGCAUACGACCAUUCGUUGCAGGAUGAAUGGGGAAAGCAGUGAUGUGCCCUGGGAGGGCUCCGCGUCGGAUUAGCUAGUUGGUGGGGUAACGGCCUACCAAGGCUGCGAUCCGUAGCUGGUCUGAGAGGACGGCCAGCCACACUGGGACUGAGACACGGCCCAGACUCCUACGGGAGGCAGCAGUUAGGGAAUUUUGUCAAUGGGCGAAAGCCUGAACGAGUGACGCCGCGUGCGGGAUGACGCCUUUCGGGGUGUAAACCGCUUUUCCCAAGGACGAGGAUGGACGGUACUUGGGGAAUAAGUCUCGGCUAACUACGUGCCAGCAGCCGC